rnacentral:hammerhead_ribozyme from 1 species
AUCCAACUGACGAGUCGCAAACAGGACGAAACGCGCGUCCUGGAU